rnacentral:lncRNA from 1 species
UGGUGGUCCACCGGUCACCCUAGAGAUGGGAAUGGAACGAGGGAGGCACCCUCGAGUCCAUGGACAUCUUGGAUGCCACGGGGAAGGCUGCCGGCGACGAGGGAGACGGCUGCAAUGCGGCGAAGCUCGGGGGAAAGAAUGACGGGAAUAUACACGUCCUAAUUUACACGUUCUACUGAAAAACUAGACGUGUAUAAUUUCCACGCCGUGUAUAUGGACGUGUAUAUGAACAUAUACACGUUCAAAUAUACACCAUCCACUAGAGAUGCUCUAA